GAUGAACGCUGGCGGCGUGCCUAAUACAUGCAAGCCGAGCGAACGGACGAGAAGCUUGCUUCUCUGAUGUUAGCGGCGGACGGGUGAGUAACACGUGGAUAACCUACCUAUAAGACUGGGAUAACUUCGGGAAACCGGAGCUAAUACCGGAUAAUAUUUUGAACCGCAUGGUUCAAAAGUGAAAGACGGUCUUGCUGUCACUUAUAGAUGGAUCCGCGCUGCAUUAGCUAGUUGGUAAGGUAACGGCUUACCAAGGCAACGAUGCAUAGCCGACCUGAGAGGGUGAUCGGCCACACUGGAACUGAGACACGGUCCAGACUCCUACGGGAGGCAGCAGUAGGGAAUCUUCCGCAAUGGGCGAAAGCCUGACGGAGCAACGCCGCGUGAGUGAUGAAGGUCUUCGGAUCGUAAAACUCUGUUAUUAGGGAAGAACAAAUGUGUAAGUAACUAUGCACGUCUUGACGGUACCUAAUCAGAAAGCCACGGCUAACUACGUG
rnacentral:rRNA from 1 species